CAAAGGUUUGGUCCUAGCCUUAUAAUUAAUUGGAGGUAAGAUUACACAUGCAAACAUCCAUAAGCCGGUGUAAAAUCCCUUAAACAUUUUUUAAAAAUUUUAAGGAGAGGGUAUCAAGCACAUAAUAAUAAUAGCUUAAAACACCUUGCCUAGCCACACCCCCACGGGACUCAGCAGUGAUAAAUAUUAAGCAAUAAACGAAAGUUUGACUAAGCUAUACCUCUUAGGGUUGGUAAAUUUCGUGCCAGCCACCGCGGUCAUACGAUUAACCCAAACUAAUUAUUCUCGGCGUAAAACGUGUUAAUUAAACCAAAAUUAAUAGAAUCAAAACCCAACUUAUAUGUGAAAAUUCAUUGUUAGGAUGUAAGAUCUACAACGAAAGUCAUUCUAUAAAUUAAAAUUACACGAUAGCUAAGAUCCAAACUGGGAUUAGAUACCCCACUAUGCUUAGCCCUAAACUUCAAUAAUUCCACAACAAAAUUAUUUGCCAGAGAACUACUAGCCACAGCUUAAAACUCAAAGGACUUGGCGGUACUUUAUAUCCACCUAGAGGAGCCUGUUCUAUAAUCGAUAAACCCCGCUCUACCUUACCAUCUCUUGCUAAUUCAGCCUAUAUACCGCCAUCUUCAGCAAACCCUAAAAAGGCGUUACAGUAAGCACAAGAACAAACAUAAAAACGUUAGGUCAAGGUGUAGCCAAUGAGAUGGGAAGUAAUGGGCUACAUUUUCUAUCAAAGAACACCACGAUACCCUUUCUGAAAUUAAAGGACAAAGGAGGAUUUAGUAGUAAAUUAAGAAUAGAGUGCUUAAUUGAAUUGAGCAAUGAAGUACGCACACACCGCCCGUCACCCUCCUCAAACUAUGCCUAAAAAAAAAUAAAUAAUUAAUAACAACAGGUUUACGAGAGGAGAUAAGUCGUAACAAGGUAAGCAUACUGGAAAGUGUGCUUGGAAUA
rnacentral:ncRNA from 1 species